rnacentral:rRNA from 1 species
UACGGAGGGAGCUAGCGUUGUUCGGAAUUACUGGGCGUAAAGCGCGCGUAGGCGGCUUGGCAAGUCGGGUGUGAAAUCCCGGGGCUCAACCCGUCGACUGCAUCCGGAUACUGUCAGGCUAGAGGUAGGUAGGGGAGAUCGGAAUUCCUGGUGUAGCGGUGAAAUGCGCAGAUAUCAGGAGGAACACCGGUGGCGAAGGCGGAUCUCUGGGCCUUACCUGACGGCUCGAGGCGCGAAAGCUAGGGGAGCGAACAGG